rnacentral:rRNA from 1 species
UACGAAGGGGGCUAGCGUUGUUCGGAUUUACUGGGCGUAAAGCGCACGUAGGCGGAUCGUUAAGUCGGGGGUGAAAGCCCAGGGCUCAACCCUGGAAUUGACCUUCGAUACUGGGAGUCUUGAGUUCGGAAGAGGUUGGUGGAACUGCGAGUGUAGAGGUGAAAUUCGUAGAUAUUCGCAAGAACACCAGUGGCGAAGGCGGCCAACUGGUCCGAAACUGACGCUGAGGCGCGAAAGCGUGGGGGAGCAAACAGGGAUUAAGAAACCCCGGUGAG